rnacentral:rRNA from 1 species
UACGUAGGGGGCUAGCGUUGUCCGGAUUUAUUGGGCGUAAAGCGCACGUAGGCGCCCUGUUAAGUCGGAUGUGAAAGCCCCGGGCUCAACCCGGGAAGUGCAUUCGAAACUGGCGGGCUUGAAUAUGGAAGAGGGUCGCGGAAUUCCCGGUGUAGAGGUGAAAUUCGUAGAUAUCGGGAGGAACACCAGUGGCGAAGGCGGCGACCUGGGCCAAUAUUGACGCUGAGGUGCGAAAGCGUGGGGAGCAAACAGG